AAAAUGAAUUUGGAAGAGUGGUGAGCUCUUUUUCUCCAGUUUAACGUCUACUAUCUUGGGCCACGGAGGAAGCAGAGGUCUGGACCAAAGAGAAAUCUCACCCCAAACCAUUUCAGAUGGAGGUGGAUGCAGAUGAGAAGUGCCAUCGAACACGCUCCAAAGGUAUCCGAGGUGCGUCUGCACUCUCCUCAACUCACUGAGGGUGCUACUCAGGGGGACCUUACCCCAACACACACACACACACACACACACACACACACACACACACACACACACACACACACACACACACACACACACACACAGCUCUCUUAUCACACAUUCCCAACUAUACUUCUCAGUACUCAGCUCUUCUCCUCCCACUGUCUCUCACCUCACCAGCCCUCCAAUACCAGACAUUAUCCAGGCAGUCUAUCCAGCCUAAUAUAUCAUGUUAUUGUGCCUGCCUACAUUGAAUGUAUUGUUUUUAACCCUGAUGAAAGCAUGAUUUUAUGAUAUAGUGAUCACUCUUUUCCUUUCGCUUCCCCUCACUCUCUUUAUUUCUCCCCAUCCCUCUCUCCCAUCUCUCUCCCCCAUCCCUCUCUCUCCCCUCUCUCUGCUUAUCCCUCUCUUCCAUCCCUCUCUCCCCUCUCUCUGCCGAUCCCUUUCUCCCUUCCCUCUCUCCCCUCUCUCUGCUUAUCCCUCUCUUCCAUCCCUCUCUCCCCUCUCUGCUUAUCCCUCUCUUCCAUCCCUCUCUCCCCUCUCUCUGCUUAUCCCUCUCUUCCAUCCCUCUCUCCCCUUUCUCUCUGCCGAUCCCUCUCUCCCAUCUCUCUCUCCCCUCUCUCUGCUUAUCCAUCUCUCCCCUCUCUCUCUCCCAUCUCUCUCUCUCCCAUCCUCUCUCCCCUUUUCUCUCUGCCGAUCCCUCUCUCCCAUCUCUCUCUCUCCCCUCUCUCUGCCAUCCCUCUCUCCCAUCCCUCUCUCCCCUCUCUCGACCAUCCCUCUCUCCCCUCUCUCUCCCCUCUCUCUCUGCCCAUCCCUCUCUCCUAUCCCUCUCUCCAUUCCCUCUCUCCUCCCUCUCCCCUCUCUCUCCCAUCCCUCUCUCCCCUCUCUCUCCCCUCUCUCUCUGCCCAUCCCUCUCUCCCAUCCCUCUCUCCAUUCCCUCUCUCCUCUCUCUCUAUGCCGAUCCCUCUCUCCCAUCUCUCUCUCCCCUCUCUCUGCUUAUCCAUCUCUCCCCUCUCUCUCUCCCAUCUCUCUCUCUCCCAUCCCUCUCUCCCCUUUCUCUCUGCCGAUCCCUCUCUCCCAUCUCUCUCUCUCCCCUCUCUCUGCCAUCCCUCUCUCCCAUCCCUCUCUCCCCUCUCUCUCUGCCUAUCCCUCUCUCCCAUCCCUCUCUCCUCUCUCUCUGCCGAUCCCUCUCUCCCCAUCCCUCUCUCCCCAUCCCUCUCUCCCAUCCCUCUCUCUGCCUGUAUUUUUCAGUGCCUGUGGAACCAGCGAUACCAGAGCUGUUCAGGCUAGGAGAAGGUUUCUUCAGAGAUAACAUUCUGGGCCCACCUAUAUCAAUAAAGAAUAUGCCACCUGGCCACCUACAGUAUGUAUAGCUCUUUCAGAUAUCCACAGAUAGUGUGGCUACCCCAUCUAUACCUCUCUCUCUCUCU
ensembl:lncRNA